UACGUAGGGUGCGAGCGUUGUCCGGAAUUAUUGGGCGUAAAGAGCUCGUAGGCGGUGUGUCACGUCGGCCGUGAAAACCUGCAGCUUAACUGUGGGCGUGCGGUCGAUACGGGCAUCACUGGAGUUCGGCAGGGGAGACUGGAAUUCCUGGUGUAGCGGUGAAAUGCGCAGAUAUCAGGAGGAACACCAGUGGCGAAGGUGGUUCUCUGGGCAUUACCUGACGCUGAGGAGCGAAAGUGUGGGGAGCGAACAGG
rnacentral:rRNA from 1 species